GCACAUUCUCGUUGCGAAUUCAAAAAUUGCCUAAGGUUAUCCACGAGACUUUCGAGAUGAAGCAAGAUCGGCCCAACCACUGUUUUUACAGAGCAGCAUUAGCAGCCUCUUGCAUAGUUUCGGUUAUUAUUGCGCAGAAACCUUCAGUGUGUGACCAAAAAGGUUAUGGAUGCGUGUAUCACACAAACUGCCCGAAGAAGCUUUAUCUGCCCUAUGCUGGUUGCUCUGGCUUCAGAACCUGCUGCAAAAUAGAUAAACUGAGCAAGUGUUACUACAAGGGGGGGAAGUGCCAGGCGACAUGUGAAGGAGCUCAGAACAAAUACGGGAAGUGUUCCUGGGGGAAGAAGUGCUGCUUACCAUGACGGCUCUACCGCGCCGACUUCUGAUUCGCAGUUCUUGUGUAGCCUACAUUUUCAGUAUAACAAAAUGUCAACCAUGCCUUUGAUAUGAGCGCUACCUUUCCUGCGCAACCUCAAGAUCGUACAUAAUACACUAUAUUUAAAACGGGCAUGUAUAUGAAAAAAAAUGUUCGCACUUCUUUUUUUUUUGCUGCUAUCAUUGCCUCAUUAAAGUUAUUUGCCUGUCUGUAUCGA